rnacentral:misc_RNA from 1 species
GCCACGGAGGAAACCCUACCCCAUCUUCUCGUCUCUUCCACAAUCUUCACCUGCAAACCAUCCUUCCCUCAUCCGCUUCAUCGUCCUCCUUGCUCCAUCACCCGCUCGAAAUCCUGCAUGUUGUUAAGUGUUCGAUUCAAAAUCUUAAUCUAGCUUUCUGAGGAUUGUUGGAACUUUCUAGACGUUGACUGUUGGGAUCAUCUUCAGGUUUGAAGAUCCGGCUAUCGGG